rnacentral:rRNA from 1 species
ACAAGCGGUGGAGCAUGUGGUUUAAUUCGACGCGACGCGAAGAACCUUACCAGGGCUUGACAUCCCCUGACCGCGUAUGAAAGUACGUUUUCACCCUCGGGUGACAGGGAGACAGGUGGUGCAUGGUUGUCGUCAGCUCGUGUCGUGAGAUGUUGGGUUAAGUCCCGCAACGAGCGCAACCCCUACGUUUAGUUGCUAACGCGUGAAGGCGAGCACUCUAGACGAACUGCCGUUGACAAAACGGAGGAAGGUGGGAUGACGUCAAAUCAUCAUGCCCCUUAUGUUCUGGGCUACACACGUGCUACAAUGGCCGGUACAGACGGACGCAAAGCCGCGAGGUGGAGCAAAUCCUAAAAAGCCGGUCUCAGUUCGGAUUGCAGGCUGCAAUUCGCCUGCAUGAAGUCGGAAUCGCUAGUAAUCGCAGGUCAGCAUACUGCGGUGAAUACGUUCCCGGGCCUU